AGGAUGAACUUAGACCUAGCCCACAAAAGGUUAUGGUGCUCUUCCAACCCUUUCCCUACUUUAGGGCUAGCUUGCAAGACUUUACCCAUAAAGUAAUUGUGCUUGUCAGCUGUGUAAGUUCUAGCAGCAGGCCACAUAUUUUCAACAUAAAUAUUUCUUGUGAACUUCUUCUUCAUGUUUUCCAUCAAGUGCCUGAAACACUUCCUCUGUUCAGCCCAUGGAAAAACAUGCUUCACUACUGAUUCUAGGCCCUUGCAAGCAUCAGUACAUAUUGCCAGUCUUGGAACUACCCCAAUGGCCUUGUUUAACUGCUCCAUU
rnacentral:lncRNA from 1 species